rnacentral:rRNA from 1 species
AUUCCAGCUCCGAUAGCGUAUAUUAAAGUCGUUGCAGUUAAAAAGCUCGUAGUUGGAUUUCUGGUGGGGACGUUUGGCCGGCCGUAACGGUUUGCGCUGAAAUGUUCUUCGCCAUCCUUGACGAGUACUGGUUCGCCAUUAAGUUGUGUGGGCUUGGAGUCGUCAUCGUUUACUGUGAAAAAAUUAGAGUGUUCAAAGCAGGCUUAUGCCGUUGAAUACAUUAGCAUGGAAUAAUAAGAUAGGACCCUGGUACUAUUUUGUUGGUUUGCGUACCUAGGUAAUGAUUAAUAGGGACAGUUGGGGGUAUUUGUAUCCCGUUGUCAGAGGUGAAAUUCUUGGAUUUACGGAAGACAAACUACUGCGAAAGCAUUUACCAAGGAUGUUUUCAUUA